rnacentral:rRNA from 1 species
GACGAACGCUGGCGGCGUGCUUAACACAUGCAAGUCGAACGGAAAGGCCCUGCUUUUGUGGGGUGCUCGAGUGGCGAACGGGUGAGUAACACGUGAGUAACCUGCCCUUGACUUUGGGAUAACUUCAGGAAACUGGGGCUAAUACCGGAUAGGAGCUCCUACUGCAUGGUGGGGGUUGGAAAGUUUCGGCGGUUGGGGAUGGACUCGCGGCUUAUCAGCUUGUUGGUGGGGUAGUGGCUUACGAAGGCUUUGACGGGUAGCCGGCCUGAGAGGGUGACCGGCCACAUUGGGACUGAGAUACGGCCCAGACUCCUACGGGAGGCAGCAGUGGGGAAUAUUGCACAAUGGGCGGAAGCCUGAUGCAGCAACGCCGCGUGCGGGAUGACGGCCUUCGGGUUGUAAACCGCUUUCGCCUGUGACGAAGCGUGAGUGACGGUAAUGGGUAAAGAAGCACCGGCUAACUACGUG